CUUAACCUCCAGGGCCCCUGGACCAUGGCUGAGGGUAGGUAGGGCUGGUUCAUGGGUCACAUUAGAGUCCACAGCUGAAGAGGUCUAUAUAUCGUUACCUCCUGUACAGGGCUGUGCACUGAAAGCUGAACUCAAGAUAAAGUAUGCAUGUAACACGGUCAGAAUAAGAGCAAGAAAUAUUAGAGGAUGAAGACACAAAGACAUGCUCUUCUCUGCUUCUUGUCCCCACCGCUACUGUGCAGGUCCAUGGUCUCCGUUAAUAUGCUCACUAGAAUUUAUACAACCUGAGCAGACACCAUCUUGACUUUGUAGCUUUCCUUUAUACCAAACAAUGGUAAACCAGGAUGACGUGUCAGGAAUCACUACCUCUCCUAGGAGCUUCAGUGUUCGGAUCAGUGUUGGUGAUUGAAUGAGGAUCUGAAUAUUGUUAAGCCCUCUGGAAGCUAACGACACAAAAGAUUUCCACACACACAAAAAACAGGAGGUAUAACUGUGGUCUAUAAAGGACUAGCCACAUCCAGAUCUUACUGCUCUAUUUGAAUAAUGGUGACCUCAAAACCCAUAUGUGCAAUUUGUCAAGAAUGAAACCUGAACACAU